rnacentral:rRNA from 1 species
UACGGAGGGUGCGAGCGUUGUCCGGAAUCACUGGGCGUAAAGGGCGCGUAGGUGGCCCGUCAAGCGCGCGGUGAAAGCCCGGGGCUCAACCCCGGGUCGGCCGUGGCAACUACUGGGCUGGAGCACUGUAGGGGCGGGUGGAAUUCCGGGUGUAGCGGUGGAAUGCGUAGAGAUCCGGAAGAACACCGGUGGCGAAGGCGGCCCGCUGGGCAGUUGCUGACACUGAGGCGCGACAGCGUGGGGAGCAAACAGG